rnacentral:tRNA from 1 species
AAUAGGGUAAGCUAAGGCAAGCUAUUGGGUUCAUGCCCCGAUUAUGAAGAAAAAUUUUUUAUUCUUUCUCUAUUA